UUAAUUGAAGAGUUUGAUCAUGGCUCAGAUUGAACGCUGGCGGCAGGCCUAACACAUGCAAGUCGAGCGGUAACAGAGAGUAGCUUGCUACUUUGCUGACGAGCGGCGGACGGGUGAGUAAUGCUUGGGAACAUGCCUUGAGGUGGGGGACAACAGUUGGAAACGACUGCUAAUACCGCAUAAUGUCUACGGACCAAAGGGGGCUUCGGCUCUCGCCUUUAGAUUGGCCCAAGUGGGAUUAGCUAGUUGGUGAGGUAAUGGCUCACCAAGGCGACGAUCCCUAGCUGGUUUGAGAGGAUGAUCAGCCACACUGGGACUGAGACACGGCCCAGACUCCUACGGGAGGCAGCAGUGGGGAAUAUUGCACAAUGGGCGCAAGCCUGAUGCAGCCAUGCCGCGUGUGUGAAGAAGGCCUUCGGGUUGUAAAGCACUUUCAGUCAGGAGGAAAGGUUAGUAGUUAAUACCUGCUAGCUGUGACGUUACUGACAGAAGAAGCACCGGCUAACUCCGUGCCAGCAGCCGCGGUAAUACGGAGGGUGCGAGCGUUAAUCGGAAUUACUGGGCGUAAAGCGUACGCAGGCGG
rnacentral:rRNA from 1 species